GACGAACGCUGGCGGCGUGCUUAACACAUGCAAGUCGAACGGAAAGGCCCUGCUUUUGUGGGGUGCUCGAGUGGCGAACGGGUGAGUAACACGUGAGUAACCUGCCCUUGACUUUGGGAUAACUUCAGGAAACUGGGGCUAAUACCGGAUAGGAGCUCCUGCUGCAUGGUGGGGGUUGGAAAGUUUCGGCGGUUGGGGAUGGACUCGCGGCUUAUCAGCUUGUUGGUGGGGUAGUGGCUUACCAAGGCUUUGACGGGUAGCCGGCCUGAGAGGGUGACCGGCCACAUUGGGACUGCGGUACGGCCCAGACUCCUACGGUAGGCAGCAGUCGGGAGUAUUGCACAAUGGGCGGAAGCCUGAUGCAGAAACGCCGCGUGCGGAAUGACGGCCUUCGGGUUGUAAACCGCUUUCGCCUGUGACGAAGCGUGAGUGACGGUAAUGAGUAAAGAAGCACCGGCUAACUACGUG
rnacentral:rRNA from 1 species